ACUCCUGCGGCAGGCAGCAGUGGGGAAUAUUGGACAAUGGGCGCAAGCCUGAUCCAGCCAUGCCGCGUGAGUGAUGAAGGCCCUAGGGUUGUAAAGCUCUUUCACCGGUGAAGAUAAUGACGGUAACCGGAGAAGAAGCCCCGGCUAACUUCGUGCCAGCAGCCGCGGUAAUACGAAGGGGGCUAGCGUUGUUCGGAUUUACUGGGCGUAAAGCGCACGUAGGCGGACUAUUAAGUCAGGGGUGAAAUCCCGGGGCUCAACCCCGGAACUGCCUUUGAUACUGGUAGUCUUGAGUUCGAGAGAGGUGAGUGGAAUUCCGAGUGUAGAGGUGAAAUUCGUAGAUAUUCGGAGGAACACCAGUGGCGAAGGCGGCUCACUGGCUCGAUACUGACGCUGAGGUGCGAAAGCGUGGGGAGCAAACAGGAUUAGAAACCCUAGUAGUCCCA
rnacentral:rRNA from 1 species